rnacentral:snoRNA from 1 species
GCAAGCAAAUUUCCUCAUAGCGUCCUGUGCUGGAACAAACUGGGGCUCCCAACCAUUGUCCAGCCUCUGUGCCCGUAUGCUGCUGACAUUGAAGUGGGUCACACAGUG